UGAAACGCAACAUUAUACCUAAAUGUCCAC
rnacentral:piRNA from 1 species